UGAAGAAUUUGUCCAACGGUGGGGGAUAGCCGGCCCAACGGCCGGGUAAUACCGCGUACGCCCUUCGAGCGGCAUCGCUUGAUGGGGAAAGUCGCAAGACGCCGAUGGAGAACUUCGCGGCCUAUCAACUAGUUGGUGAGGUCAUGGCUCACCAAGGCGACGACGGGUAGCUGGUCCGAGAGGAUGACCAGCCACAUUGGGACUGAGACACGGCCCAGACUCCGUACGGGGAGGCAG
rnacentral:rRNA from 1 species